rnacentral:lncRNA from 1 species
GUUUGCAACCCAGGGCUGGGAUGAAGGGGCUGCGGGAAGCUCUCGUUCCCCUCGCCCCCCUUCUGUCUGGAGUCUCGCCCGCCGGGGGCUGGUUAACCCCAGUCCCGGCCGCCGCAGACACCGCGCUGAGCUUUUGGGUCCUCGCCUCGCCCAGCGCCAGUGCAGCUGAAGUGAGCAGCUGGUGGGAAAUGCAAAUGGCUCCUGGAGAAAUAGAAGAUACAGAAUGAUUCUCAUUCCCUCCUCGAGUGUGUGGAAGGAACUGGACAUACGUUUCACGCUCCUAAUCCUUCUUUUACAUUUUUAGUCAUACUCCUAUUAAACAACUAAUUAAUGCCCAGAACCACCGGGGAAUACAUUAGGCAUGCAGCGGACAGGCAGGGUGCUGGGGGGCUGCAAGCCACCGAGACGAUUUAAGACAUGGAUUUCAGGUUUUUCCCUCGUCAGAGCAGAAAUGGAAGAGUGGGCCGUGGCGAUUGUAUUUAGAUUCCGAUUACUUCAAAUUAGAAGGGGGCGGAGGGAGCGUCCAAGCAAAGCAAGCAAUUCCCUGCCCUGCAGAUGUAAACAAGAUUGUAGCAUCAAAGCAAGAGUUUGCAGCAACUGGAACAACUUCUCUCUGGGAAGAUAUUCCCUUUGCUGGGCUCUCAGCUUCUGGAGAAAAGGACUUGAAAGCAAUGAAGGAGAAAGGAGACACUGGAGGUUGUCACCCACUUCCGCUGAGACAAGCUGCAGUUCAGUGAAGGAACCGAGGCAGUAGUCAGACCUCCCCUGGAGGUUCUCUUUAAGUGCAGCACUGACUUCCCCACUACGGGAUCCCAAGAUAAGAAAAUGGAGGCCCUGCAAGGAUAAAUGAAUCAUCCAAGAUCACAUGCCUGAUUGUUGACAUUGUUG